rnacentral:rRNA from 1 species
GACGAACGCUGGCGGCGUGCUUAACACAUGCAAGUCGAACGGAAAGGCCCUGCUUUUGUGGGGUGCUCGAGUGGCGAACGGGUGAGUAACACGUGAGUAACCUGCCCUUGACUUUGGGAUAACUUCAGGAAACUGGGGCUAAUACCGGAUAGGAGCUCCUGCUGCAUGGUGGGGGUUGGAAAGUUUCGGCGGUUGGGGAUGGACUCGCGGCUUAUCAGCUUGUUGGUGGGGUAGUGGCUUACCAAGGCUUUGACGGGUAGCCGGCCUGAGAGGGUGACCGGCCACAUUGGGACUGAGAUACGGACCAGACUCCUACGGGAGGCAGCAGUGGGGAAUAUUGCACAAUGGGCGGAAGCCUGGUGCAGCAACGCCGCGUGCGGGAUGACGGCCUUCGGGUUGUAAACCGCUUUCGCCUGUGACGAAGCGUGAGUGACGGUAAUGGGUAAAGAAGCACCGGCUAACUACGUG